UAGAAAUUUUAAUCCUGAUUUGGAAUUUCU
rnacentral:piRNA from 1 species